rnacentral:rRNA from 1 species
GCAGCCGCGGUAAUACGUAGGUGGCGAGCGUUGUCCGGAAUUACUGGGUGUAAAGGGAGCGCAGGCGGGAGAGCAAGUCAGUGGUGAAAUUUAUGGGCUUAACCCAUAAACUGCCAUUGAAACUGUUCUUCUUGAGUGGAGUAGAGGUAGGCGGAAUUCCGAGUGUAGCGGUGAAAUGCGUAGAUAUUCGGAGGAACACCAGUGGCGAAGGCGGCCUACUGGGCUCUAACUGACGCUGAGGCUCGAAAGUGUGGGGAGCAAACAGGAUUAGAUACCCC